rnacentral:rRNA from 1 species
CACGUAGGGUGCGAGCGUUGUCCGGAAUUAUUGGGCGUAAAGAGCUCGUAGGCGGUGUGUCGCGUCGGCCGUGAAAACCUGCAGCUUAACUGUGGGCGUGCGGUCGAUACGGGCAUCACUGGAGUUCGGCAGGGGAGACUGGAAUUCCUGGUGUAGCGGUGAAAUGCGCAGAUAUCAGGAGGAACACCGAUGGCGAAGGCAGAUCUCUGGGCCGUAACUGACGCUGAGGAGCGAAAGCAUGGGGAGCGAACAGG